UUCGAAAGGAAUGCUAAUACCGCAUACGUCCUACGGGAGAAAGCAGGGGAUCUUCGGACCUUGCGCUAAUAGAUGAGCCUAAGUCGGAUUAGCUAGUUGGUGGGGUAAAGGCCUACCAAGGCGACGAUCUGUAGCGGGUCUGAGAGGAUGAUCCGCCACACUGGGACUGAGACACGGCCCAGACUCCUACGGGAGGCAGCAGUGGGGAAUAUUGGACAAUGGGCGCAAGCCUGAUCCAGCCAUGCCGCGUGUGUGAAGAAGGCCUUAUGGUUGUAAAGCACUUUAAGCGAGGAGGAGGCUACUGGUAUUAAUACCUAGAGAUAGUGGACGUUACUCGCAGAAUAAGCACCGGCUAACUCUGUGCCAGCAGCCGCGGUAAUACAGAGGGUGCGAGCGUUAAUCGGAUUUACUGGGCGUAAAGCGCGCGUAGGCGGCUAAUUGAGUCGGAUGUGAAAUCCCCGAGCUUAACUUGGGAAUUGCAUUCGAUACUGGUUAGCUAGAGUGUGGGAGAGGAUGGUAGAAUUCCAGGUGUAGCGGUGAAAUGCGUAGAGAUCUGGAGGAAUACCGAUGGCGAAGGCAGCCAUCUGGCCUAACACUGACGCUGAGGUACGAAAGCAUGGGGAGCAAACAGGAUUAGA
rnacentral:rRNA from 1 species